ensembl:lncRNA
CUCUACUCCCUCCUUUUAUGGUUCUUUCCAGUCAUCACCAUGGCAACCGUCAACUGUCACAGCACCGAGGAAUGUGACAUUUAGCAUGGGGAUGGCUCAUAAUGAAAGCUAGAGGUUGUCUGGGGUCACUCAGCAGUCGCUGUAGAUCCAGCCUGUUUUGGCUGGCCCUGCUGAAAAGGAGCCUCUGGCCUACAGGCUCCUGUCCUGAAAGAUAAACCAGAUUAAGGGUGGGUAGAAAUUCAGCCAGCUCAAGUGAACAGCACAAGAUCAGGGUAGGUAAAACCAUAGCCCACAAUGUACUCUCAUCUAGAAAAAGGCUCUUUACAGGUGGAAUUAAGUGAAAAUGAAGUCAGUACCAUCAACUUCAACCCAGUAUGACUGUUGUCCUUAUAAAAAGUCCACAGGGAGAAGCAAGCCAACACCCGCCUUGGCUCCAGACUCGGGAACUCCAGGUUGUGGCCCUUCCCUGCGGCAGCCCUGGCCAGCUCACUGCUAGACAGACUUCCUGCAGCAACCGGUGCACACACCUCCUGCUUCCUGAAGGGAGGCUGCUCCCCCGGCAAACAAGGCAGCGCUUCCUGUUCCCAGUCUCUGCUUCCAGGAUGUUAGUCUUCCUCCCUCAGCUACACAAUAGCUUCCAAGGCCAACGUCCCUCCUUCCGGCCCUGCCUUUCCUCCACCCAGCACUUCAGCACCCGUCAUCAAAGGAGAUCUCAACAUCCACGGAGGGACCCAUGCAACCCCCAGGUUCAAGGUUCCUCCGCCACCAGGGCUUUCACAUCCACUCCAUCCACCCAUGUUCAGGGCCUCCCCACACCUGUGUCACCUCUUCCACCCCCCCCCAAUGGCUUUACCUGUGACACCAGGAGCACUGGCCUCAUGCCCUUUGACCUCUCUCUCUUCUCCAUCAACCAGCUCUGCCCUUCCUGCCGGUCCCAGUAGGGGACUAGCACUUCUGCCUGCCUGGCCAAGGCUCUCUCUUCCCUUCCUGGAUAUCAUCCCUGCCCUGGGGCAUCACCAGUCACCAGUUAUCUCCCCUCAGCCCUCUGUCCAUCUGCCGUCACCUCUUUCUAGCCUUUUCCCAUCAGUAUUUACUCAGCCAAAUCUAUCUCAGCUUUAAAGAGAGAGUUCUGUACACAUGAUUUUUUUUUUUCUGGAAGAAAAAUAUAAGAAACUGAUUGGCCUGGGUGGUAGUUCAGUGAUAGAGUGCUUGCCUGGCAAGUGUAAGGCCCUAGGUUGGAUCCACCCCAGCCUGGAAAGAAAAAAAAGAAAAAGAAAAAGAAAAAGAGAGAGAGGGAGAGAGAGAGGGAGAGGGAGAGAAAGAAAGAAAGAAAGAAAGAAAGAAAGAAAGAAAGAGAAGGAAAGAAAAAGAAAGAAAGGAGGGAGGGAAAGAAGAGGGAAGGGGAGAGAAGGAGAGAAGGAGGAAUGGAAAGAAGGAAGAAAUAAAGAAAGGAAAGAAAGAAGAAAAAAGAAAAGAAAGAAGAGAAAGAAGAAAUUGAUCAUAAUUAUCUUUGGAGAGAGACUGAAAAGUACAGUAUUUUAUUUUUCAUUUAAUAAAUUUGCUUUAUAUAGCCUUUGACUUUUAACC